rnacentral:rRNA from 1 species
CACUCCUGCGGGAGGCAGCAGUGGGGAAUAUUGGACAAUGGGCGCAAGCCUGAUCCAGCCAUGCCGCGUGAGUGAUGAAGGCCCUAGGGUUGUAAAGCUCUUUCACCGGAGAAGAUAAUGACGGUAUCCGGAGAAGAAGCCCCGGCUAACUUCGUGCCAGCAGCCGCGGUAAUACGAAGGGGGCUAGCGUUGUUCGGAAUUACUGGGCGUAAAGCGCACGUAGGCGGAUCGAUCAGUCAGGGGUGAAAUCCCAGGGCUCAACCCUGGAACUGCCUUUGAUACUGUCGAUCUGGAGUAUGGAAGAGGUGAGUGGAAUUCCGAGUGUAGAGGUGAAAUUCGUAGAUAUUCGGAGGAACACCAGUGGCGAAGGCGGCUCACUGGUCCAUUACUGACGCUGAGGUGCGAAAGCGUGGGGAGCAAACAGGAUUAGAUACCCGUGUAGUCCCAUG